AAUAGUGGUUAUUUUAUAAAUAUAUUUGAAAAACUUGGUUGUUUAGAAAUUUAUUUAUUUAUUAUUGCUUUAUUUAUUUAUUUUUGUUCUUUAUUUUAUUUCCUUUAGUUUUUUUUUAAAUUCUUUUACCUCUUUGUAAGAUCCCAAUUUUGACCAUAAAAUUCCUCGUGUUAUCUCAUCAUUUGCAUUAGUUUUGGGAUCACACCUUGGUAU
rnacentral:lncRNA from 1 species